AAUAAGAAUAAUACUUAAUUAGAUUUAAGAAGUUAAGAAACUUAACAGGAAUGCAUUUCUAAGUGCAUGGUCUUUUAAAUUCUUUUUCUUAAUUCCUAGAAAAGUCCUUGAGCAUUAAUUUAAUCGAGUGAUUUAAUUUAUGUGGAGGUUCACCAAUUAUUCGUUUAACAAAGAGAGCGUUAUCUUCUAUGCAACUUAUCCUAACAUCAAUUAUUUGAGCACUAAAUCAAAGUCCAAGAAUUAAAUUUAUCAUCGCGAGAUUAAUUAGUGGACCAUCAAUUAUCUGACCGGGCAAAACAAUAGGAGGGCCCACAACUUAAAUAACACAGUAGGCCCAACUCGAAGGAAAUUAGCCCAUCUCUCUCUUUAGUGUUUUUAGGCCCAAGCUUCGAUUUUAUUUUAGUCAUUAGCCCAUCCCUAUAUUUUAUCUCCUCGGCCCAAAACAAAAUAAAAGAAAGAGGCCCAAAACAAAAACAACAAACAACCCAAACUAUUCUCUCCCCCAAUCUAUCGUCUCUCUCUCAUCCUCAUUCCCCAAUUUCUCAAAUUGGGGGAAAAACUCAAAAUCCCUAACUUCACAACCCUAACUCCACGGCACCUCCUCUCCUUCACGCCGAUUGCUCCCGUCGCGCCAGUCAGCCGCCGGCGCCCUGUCGGCGGCGUCGCAGGCUCGUCGGUACACUCCGUCUCUGACCAUUUUUUUUCUCUGCCUCACCCCUGGCCCUCACACCCAGCCGGCCGCCCAUCGCUCGGGGCCUCGUCGCCCGGAACCCAAGGCAUGUCGGGGCCUUCGCUCCUACCCUUCAAUCGACCGAGACUCCGUCGGUUCAGGCGAGAAAUCGCGUCGCUAGAGGGCACGCCGGCAGUUGCCAUCUCCGCCGCGCCAUAGCCGUCGCGAUCCUCUGAACUCCACCCCCUCUCUCUCUCUCUCUUCGGCGGUGACACCACCGCCAAUUUUGGCUCCGCUUCUCGGCGAUUCAGCCGCCAUCUCUCUGCGCCGUCGGCUCCAACUCCGACAUUAUAGGCUAUGAGAAAAGAUUGGGAGAAGGGAUGGAGGUGAAAUACCUGUUGAAGUAGUUACUGCCUUGAAAUAUGCUCCUAGAACACCAAGCUCUCUAACUCUCUUUAAAUUUGCUGAAAUUUUUGGGGUGUGUGGGAAGGGAUCCGAAGGUGGUAUGGAGGGGGGUCUUUAUAGGAAAUUUUUUGUGUACUUUGAUGAAUUAAAUGGUUUAUAUGGUAGUUUGUCUCUACUUUGCAGCAUAUCUCUUUAGUUGAUUCACUUUGUAAGACUUAAUUUUGGUGUUAUUUUGGUUGUACUUGGUACUUGGCUAUUACUUCAAUUUGUUUGCUUAUUGCAGGGGUGGUGUUGGAGGGAUAAUAAUCCAUAGGUGUUGGUUUGAGGAAAGGAUUUGCAGGCAUUGACUUUCCCUUCUUGGUGGAACAAAGACUUGGACUGCCAUCCGCGAUACCGGCUCGCUGCUCCGGGCCCAACAGGCUGAUCGGAUAGGGCCGCGGUGGGGAUGCAGUUUGGGCUAGGGAGAAAGAGGCCCAGAGUAGCUAAUAGAAGCUUUUAGUUUCUUAGCCUUCUGGGCUCAUUCUUGAAUUUUUUUUGUAAUAGUAUAGUAUUUCAUUUAGAUAAAGUUUAUUACUCGAGAUGUAUGCGAACAUUUUAGUUCGGAGACAACUUCAUAUCCUUGUACAAUUUCACAUAUCUCUCAUAACAUACAUUGGUUUGUUCGAUUAACACUUAAA